AGCGUUCUGUCCGCGGCCGAGGACCUGACGGAGCGCAUGCGCGCCGCCCUGAACAGGGCGCUGCGCUCUUCUUCGUGGCUGCACGGUCCGACGCGCAGCAAGGCGCUGAGCAAGGCGGCCGCCAUGGGCAUGACCCUGGGAUUCCCCGACCGCUUCUCGCGCGAGUCGCAGCUGGACGAGUACUUCGCCACGCUGGGUGACGUUCGCCCCGACAAAUCGCUGUCGUCGUGGCUGGCGCUGCGCCAGUUCCUGCAAGAACAGCAGCGCCGCGCUGGAGGCGACAACUGUUGACGUGGCUGUGACGCACGCGCACAAGGUGAACGCGUACUACCUGUCCGGCAAUCGGGUGCUGGUCCCGGCCGGCAUCAUCCAGGAGCCCGUGUACUUCCACGACGCUGCCGACGCCUACAACUACGGCGCGCUGGGACAGGCAGUGGGUCACGAGAUGAUGCACGCGUACGACACGCAUGGUCGCAACCUUGACCAUCACGGCCAGCCGUGGGCCUGGACCGUCACCACGAGCCGCGA
rnacentral:lncRNA from 1 species